CCUAACCUUUUCUUUCCUUCUUUUCGCUCGAGUUUAAUUCUUGUACGUGAUUCAUUUGGUGUUUGGAUUCCUAAACGGAUAAAUAAAGAGCUAUUGUUUGGUCCGCUGCCCUGCAGAAGAUCCAGGUACAUUUGGACGUGGUGAUUGUUAUCUUGGUGCUAGUACCUGCUCGGAGACUUUGAGGUAGCUACUAUGACGCCCGCAAACCUUGACCUCUCCUCCUUUUUAUUUUAUUCAGUACUGCUCUAUUACUCAGACAGUUAUAUUAGAGUUUCAGACUAUGUUGAUGCUUAGUAGGUCAUGUACUCAUUGACAUCAUGUUUUUGGUGGUUGUAGUAUAGAUUCAGCUACUAUUAUCGUAUAUUUAUAAGAUUCUUCCGUUGUUGAGUU